rnacentral:rRNA from 1 species
CAGUAGCCGCGGUAAUACGAAGGGGGCUAGCGUUGCUCGGAAUGACUGGGCGUAAAGGGCGCGUAGGCGGUUUUGACAGUCAGAUGUGAAAUUCCUGGGCUUAACCUGGGGGCUGCAUUUGAGACGUCAAGACUAGAGUGUGAGAGAGGGUUGUGGAAUUCCCAGUGUAGAGGUGAAAUUCGUAGAUAUUGGGAAGAACACCGGUGGCGAAGGCGGCAACCUGGCUCAUUACUGACGCUGAGGCACGAAAGCGUGGGGAGCAAACAGGAUUAGAGACCCCCGUAGUCCCUGUCUCUUAUAC